UACGGAGGGUGCAAGCGUUAUCCGGAUUCACUGGGUUUAAAGGGUGCGUAGGCGGCCAGGUAAGUCAGUGGUGAAAUCUCCGAGCUUAACUCGGAAACUGCCUUUGAUACUCUCUGUCUUGAAUAUGGUGGAGGUAAGCGGAAUAUGUCAUGUAGCGGUGAAAUGCUUAGAGAUGACAUAGAACACCUAUUGCGAAGGCAGCUUACUACGCCUAUAUUGACGCUGAGGCACGAAAGCGUGGGGAGCAAACAGG
rnacentral:rRNA from 1 species